UAGGCAAUUUCAAUGUUUACGUUGAAUACCUUUAUGUAUUAUAUCUGGCUGUAUGGGCUUUUGACCCCUUUGUCUGUCCAGAUGGACGAACAGAAACAAAAAAAAAACCUUUAUGUAUUAAUACAUAAUAUUUUAAAUGGUGUGUAUAUGUGCGUCCUUAAAUUAAAGUUAAAAUAAAUCUAGUACAGAUGCCUGCAUGAAGAAAAGUAUCCAUGUCACAAAAUGAAUAUACACUGGCUUUGAGUUAGCUUAUAUUAAGCACAUAAAUUUGUUUUGUUUGUUUGUUUUCUCACAGUUUUUGUCACAGUGCCCUUGAUCCUUCAUGGCCCUUAGACAUUCCUUAACAUCUCCAAUAGAUAUUAUAUUGUAAGUAUGGAUUUCAUUUUAUUUGAAGCAUUGGAUGAAGUUUAAGGAGAAAAUGAAAACAAAUGCUGCAGCCUAGAAGAAAUACAGCAGCAACUGGUGGAGGGCUGAAUAAGCAUGUUCUUUAAAUGAGUGUUGGGAAUCAUAGGUUCAGCGGCAGUGUUAUUUUAGUUAUUUGUUAUUUCCUAUCAUUAUUAUUCAAUAUAUGAAUUUGUAUUGUUAAACCCUUAUCUUUGGUGAAAUUUUAAGGUUUACUAAUUUUUAUGUCAUUGUAACCUAAUAGUAAUUUUUAUGAAGAAUUUACUUAUUUGUACUAUAUCAUUUAUAAAAUAAUUAUUUUUUACAGACAGCCUAUUGAUAUUGGAAAUUCAGCCCCCAAUUCUAUUUUUUCCCAUUCCAUAGAUCCACAACUGUCCCUAAGUCCUCAUUUCUUAAUCCCAUAUCCUCAGGACAUGUGAUCUAUGAAAUUGAAUGUGAAAUGAAAAGAAAUAAAAUGCUUUAUUUUUAUAUAA